CCUACGGGAGGCAGCAGUAGGGAAUAUUGCUCAAUGGGGGAAACCCUGAAGCAGCAACGCCGCGUGGAGGAUGAAGGUUUUCGGAUUGUAAACUCCUUUUGUUAGAGAAGAUAAUGACGGUAUCUAACGAAUAAGCACCGGCUAACUCCGUGCCAGCAGCCGCGGUAAUACGGAGGGUGCAUGCGUUACUCGGAAUCACUGGGCGUAAAGAGCGCGUAGGCGGGAUAGCAAGUCAGAUGUGAAAUCCUAGGGCUUAACCAUAGAACUGCAUUUGAAACUGUUAUUCUAGAGUAUGGGAGAGGUAGGUGGAAUUCUUGGUGUAGGGGUAAAAUCCGUAGAGAUCAAGAGGAAUACUCAUUGCGAAGGCGACCUGCUAGAACAUAACUGACGCUGAUGCGCGAAAGCGUGGGGAGCAAACAGGAUUAGAUACCCGGGUAGUC
rnacentral:rRNA from 1 species